CGUGACUAAACUCGUAUUCUGUAAUCUUUAGAAUCUCUUUACCUUUGAGUUCCACUUCGGGAGCAUCAGUUGAGGUGCUCCGGUCACAAUCACAGCCGGGCGGUCCAACAAAUCGAAAAAGAGAUACUCGGCUAUUUUGAAAGAGUUGAUACGCGCGAACUGAAUAUACUAUCCUCCACGAGGGAGUGGUUCCUUCUUUACCUUAUAUUUGGGG